rnacentral:lncRNA from 13 species
GGCCUAUUGGGUACAUGUGGCGUGUAUGAAGAGACUGGUGCUACCGUUGUCCAGCCAGUAAAGUACAGGCAUCUAGUCUGUAAUGGAAAUGGCUGCCAGCUGUUUGUAUUGUAUGUUCUCAAAAGUGCGGGCUCGAACUGGUGGGGUGGGGGUGAGGAGUUGCUUGGCGCGGGAAAUAGAAUGCUUUAUGUCACUAGUGCGCAACUGUGAGUGGGCCGUGUGCACUUCCGCUGGGCGGGGAGGCGUUACCAGACAACCUCUUCCUGUCAUAGCCUGGAGGCGCAUUCGGCACAGAGGCGGCAGCCGCCUUAGACGUGUGGUGGUCGCGCUGCGCGAUCACUCCAGCUUACAGGCCUUUCUGACAGAUCCAGAGAAGCAAGACCCGUCACUGCUAACUCAGUAGCUGCCUAACUGGACAGAGCUGAAGAGCGCAGCAAGUGUGAAGUGGCUGUUAUUGCAGCUUCCACGCUGCUAGCAGAGCCAGCCCAGCAAGGUGAGCAGCUGUGAGGUGGGCUCUGGUGGGAGGGACUCUGGAACCUUGGCAAAGAGUGAGGAGACAGGACUCACUGCAGGGUUCGCAAACUCUGCAGGAUAGGGCCAUCGCUAGGGCAAGAGUUGUUCGUUUCCUGCAGUCUGGCAGUAGGGACCUUAUCUGCGUCCCUUUUCUGCCCGAUUUCACCUUCCACACAAUUUAAACCAUGAACUCCUGUCCUUCUUUGAGCACUCACUCCUCAUGCCUACCUCCCCUUUCCUCACCUACCCUCCUUGUUGCUAGGAUGCUGUAUUGGAUGAAGACCGAUGACAUCACCUGUUGCUUCUCAAGGGCCUUAGCCUCACCACAUGACACUACCAUACAAUAGCAACCCAUGGUCCAUGGUAUGCUCUGUAUCCAUGGCAACACUGCAGUUUCUCACACAAUCUCCACACCCACCACUCAUUUCAUUGCGCAGAGCUCCGGCCAUCUUUCUCCUCUGUCAGGCAUUUCCUGAGAAACACGGCCACUCCACCUCUCCUGCAGCCAGCCUUCACUUCCAUUCCAGCAAGGAGGGUGCCAGGUGACCUGAGCCCACAUAGCCCUGAGUGAGCAGUGGGGCAGUCUCCUGACUUUUGCCUGGAGGGCUUGUCAGUGUCCUCAGGUGUCAGGCCCUGCCUCCUGACGUUGGCCUUUUCACUACAGGCACCUGCAGCACACCCGGCUGAGUCCUCUGGACAUCGAGGAGGAACCCACAGCAGGAGGAGGUCAGCAGGGAGUGUGGUGAGGUGGGGGGAUCUUUGCCUGGGGAGACCCACCACACUCUGUUCUCCACACAAUGACUUGAGCCUUGGGUAGCAGGGACUCCAUCCCUGCUGGGGGUGGGGGCAGAGGGAGGGGCACUUGGGAGUAUACGUUGGGGUGGGCAUUA